rnacentral:lncRNA from 1 species
UUAUUAUUCAUUCAUGUGUGAUUAUUGUUAUCGGCUAUCAAUUACUCUAGAACUUGCUUUAGAUCUUAUUAAAGAUAGUAAUACAUUUGAUUUCCAUUAAAUAUGAUUCAAGAGGCUAUAGGAAUUAACCCACAAGUACCUAUAAAAAAAAAACCAACCUUGACAUUAUUCCAAUUAGUUAGCCAAUUUGAAGCCUUAAUUUCCCAUUUUUUAUGUACCUCCAGAAAUUAAGCCAAAGCCGAAUCCACUCACCUUUUUAGGCUAGUUAAUUUAGUCUGGAAGUUCAUCCUGAUUUCGACAUAUGCUGGCCAAUUUUGGG